UAGGGAAUCUUCGGCAAUGGACGAAAGCCUGACGGAGCAAUGCCGCGUGGAGGUGGAAGGCCUACGGGUCGUCAACUUCUUUUCUCGGAGAAGAAACAAUGACGGUAUCUGAGGAAUAAGCAUCGGCUAACUCUGCGCCAG
rnacentral:rRNA from 1 species